GGGACUCGGUUAUAGACAUAUCAUAUUCGAAGAAGACAUUUUUACAGUUAUCAAUCUUCUUAAAAGUCAAGAAACAAAUCUGAAUAUCAAAACAAUAUCUCAUACGAUCUCUUUGUGGAAUAACUGCUCUAAAGAAAUUGAAUUUAAGCAUAAAAAAGGACUGGAAAUGGAUGUGCAGAUGUGUUAUCUAAGUCAGCUUUACAAAGUACUAUUCAUA
rnacentral:lncRNA from 1 species